rnacentral:rRNA from 1 species
AUUGAACGCUGGCGGCAUGCUCUACACAUGCAAGUCGAACGGCAGCAGGGGCUUCGGCCCGCUGGCGAGUGGCGAACGGGUGAGUAAUGCAUCGGAACGUACCCAGUCGUGGGGGAUAACGUAGCGAAAGUUACGCUAAUACCGCAUACGUCCUGAGGGAGAAAGCGGGGGAUCUUCGGACCUCGCGCGAUUGGAGCGGCCGAUGUCAGAUUAGCUAGUUGGUGAGGUAAAGGCUCACCAAGGCGACGAUCUGUAGCGGGUCUGAGAGGAUGAUCCGCCACACUGGGACUGAGACACGGCCCAGACUCCUACGGGAGGCAGCAGUGGGGAAUUUUGGACAAUGGGCGAAAGCCUGAUCCAGCCAUGCCGCGUGAGUGAAGAAGGCCUUCGGGUUGUAAAGCUCUUUCGGACGGGAAGAAAUCUUCUGGGCUAAUACCCCGGGAGGAUGACGGUACCGUAAGAAGAAGCACCGGCUAACUACGUGCCAGCAGCCGCGGUAAAAC